rnacentral:lncRNA from 1 species
UAGGUGUGACCAUAGGGCCCUAACCCCCACUGGAGAAUAUUCGAUUUGGAGCCGAGUUUGGGUGAAUAGGUGGCCUCCUCUCCUGAGCAUGAAUUAUUCAUGAUUUAUGAAUUUGAUGCAUGGUAUUUUGAAUUGAUGAAUAUAUCUUUCUUUGAAAUGUUAAAUGAAUUAUUAUUAAACGUAUUAAACUUGAUAUGGAUUAUUUGAUUGAUUUUAAUAUCCCAUGGUU